ACUCAAUAUGUCGGUAUACAUGAUGGGAGUAGUCAGGUGUCGGAUAGAUACUUCAGAUUUACAGAAGGAAAUGUGCAUGAGUUCACUGAAAAGAGCAUUAGAUGAUGUAGAAUAUAAUUCUUGUGGAGCCGAACCAUUGAGAAAGAAGACCCGGUUACCUAUUUUAAAAAGGCACAUACGGAGCAGCACAAAUGGUAAAAAAGCCAAAGUAGGUGCCCGUACUCACUGCAGAUUACAGAGUAAUAAGAAACAUUUUCAAAAAGCUCCUCCAAAUCAUUCAUCAAAUGGAUUGUCAUGUACUGCAACCUCACAAGGUUCUGAUAAUGAACAUAAAACAGAUGAAUCUAGUGAUCUUGCCAUUAAAAAGAAGCGAGCAAAGCGUUCAGCAGAUUCAGAUUCCUUGCCAAAUCACACAACAGAGGAAUCAGAUAUAAAAAAGCGUAAGGUUGACCAAACAGCCACAGAAACAGAAUCAGAAAAUUGUCAGGAUUCCGCCAAACCAUCUAAUGAACAGAAUACAUCAGAGGCAACAUGCAGUACAUCACAGCGCACAGAAUCUCCAAAAUUGGUUGCGCGUUUGUGUGGAAUUGCAGAUUAUAUGAGAGUACAGCAGAAUUACACUUUUCGGAAGAAUGUUGCUUUUGCAAGAAAAAUUUUCGUGUAUUCAAGUGAUGGAUCUGAAUAUGAUUAUGAUAACAAUGGUACUGGUGAUAAUGAUGAUGAUGAUGGUGAUCUGUAUGAUGACGAUGAUGGGGAUCUCUAUGACGACGACGAUGAUGAUGAUGAUGUUGACAAUGAUGAUGAUGACGAUGAUGAUUAUGAAGAUGUUGAUCCUGAUGCAGAAGUUGUUUCAAAACGACUUAAUUUACAGAUUGCUGAUUUCUUCAAACUGCACCGAAACCGUGAACCUAGUGCACUGAACGCAUCAAAGCCCCAGUCUGGGGAGGUGCGAGCUACUGAGCAACGUCAGACAACUACAUUUGGAAUAGGCUUGUUCUGUAAGCAGCCUAUUAUUAAUACUUACUUUAAUUAGGAGAGAAGCAGCGGUGAAAUGUUUGAGCAUUGAGAAACUUGUAGAGGUAUCUGAUGGAUGGUGGCCUCAUUUGAAUGAGAUAUCUUACGCUUUACACAAAAAUGACCCAACAUUGCCUGGGGGUUCUGGUGCUGCUGCUGCUGCUGCUGCUGCAGCAGCUGCAGCAGUAGCAGCAGGAUUCGAACAUGAUGAGAAUGGCAAUGAUGCUGAAGAAUUUGAUAGAGCAA
rnacentral:misc_RNA from 1 species